UCAAGCUGAACAUCACCAUUAUCAUCUUAGUUAGGGCCACUAGCUUAUAACAAAAUAAUAGCACGAAAGCACCAGUCUCCAUGCACACAGUUCUACAUUACUAUUCAUAUUUAAAGAAUUCAUUUUUCAGGAGAGAGGUUCAACAUCUGCCAGGAGGGAAAUUUGUGCUUCAACAAUCAAUGUAUCAUCCACUAGAAAUCCCUUUGAUGCAUCAUAGAUAUCAUUAAGCGGCAUGAAGUCAGAACGUCCCCAGCAGCAAUCAACGCUUGAUUUGCUGAUAAACCAAUCACUUCCUGUAAUCUUAUGAUGGCUUUCCUGGACCUGAUC
rnacentral:misc_RNA from 1 species